rnacentral:rRNA from 1 species
GAUGAACGCUAGCGGCAGGCCUAAUACAUGCAAGUCGAACGGUGUAGCAAUACACAGUGGCGCACGGGUGCGUAACACGUAUGCAACCUACCUUACAUUGGGGGAUAGCCUUUCGAAAGGGAGAUUAAUACCGCAUAAGACAGUAACUAGGCAUCUAGUAGCUGUUAAAGAUUUAUCGAUGUAAGCUGGGCAUGCGUCCAAUUAGUUAGUUGGCGAGGUAAUGGCUCACCAAGACGAUGAUUGGUAGGGGAACUGAGAGGUCAAUCCCCCACACUGACACUGAGAUACGGACCAGACUCCUACGGGAGGCAGCAGUAGGGAAUAUUGGGCAAUGGGCGCAAGCCUGACCCAGCCAUGCCGCGUGCAGGAAGAAGGCGUUAUGCGUUGUAAACUGCUUUUAUACAGGAAGAAACGACCCUUGCGAGGGGCAUUGACGGUACUGUAUGAAUAAGCACCGGCUAACUCCGUGCCAGCAGCCGCGGUAACAC